GGGAGUUUGUCUUGCAUAACACAUGAACGAAGAUUUUCUUGAAGACUUCAACAAAGGAUCAAGAAACGAGAGGAGCAGUUUUUUUCAACUUUUGUGUAUCCCCAAACUUAGCCUCCACGGCUUCUGAGCCAGCUAUGCUCUCGGCUUUGUGCUUAGGACUUGUGACCUUGUUGAUAAUGCGAGGGACCAGUGGAGACUCGGUGACCCAGACAGAACAUGUUGUUACCCUCCCCGAGACGGCAUCUCUGACUCUGAAGUGUACUUAUCAGUCCAGCUAUUCAGUUUCUCUUUUCUGAUUGCCACUCAGCCCAGGAUUCACCUUGGAUCUCCUCCCUCCUCAUGCUACCGCCUUGCCCUUGUCUCUCCCUUUCUCUCUUUUGUCCAUAUCCCUCCUCUCUUGUACAGUGGUCCACAAAUUUCUAAGUUCCAUCUCAAUCCUCAGUGAGACAGUUUUGGUAAACCCCUCCUGCCCUGGCGCCUGGACGCUGCCUCCAUGAAGGACGCUGGGCCACGUGAGUGCUCAUCUCAUCUGUCUUCCUUGUCUCUGUGCUCCCUGAUGUACAAGAUCCAAAAUCUGUUUCAUAUAUUUUGUCCAGUUUUCUAGUUGUAAGGUCAACUCUACCUUUAACUGUGAAAAAGAAGUAAUGGUAAUUUUUUGGGUAUAUUUACA